GUAGGGAAUAUUGGACAAUGGGGGCAACCCUGAUCCAGCGACGCCGCGUGAGUGAUGAAGGCCUUCGGGUCGUAAAGCUCUGUUGCAGGGGAAGAACACAAUGACGGUACCCUGCUAGAAAGGAUCGGCUAACUUCGUGCCAGCAGCCGCGGUAAGACGAGGGAUCCUAGCGUUGUUCGGAAUUAUUGGGCGUAAAGCGGGUGCAGGUGGCUUGGUAAGUCAGAUGUGAAAGCCUGGGGCUUAACCCCAGAAGUGCAUUUGAUACUGCUGAGCUUGAGUGCUGGAGAGGCUAUUAGAAUUCCUGGUGUAGUGGUGAAAUACGUAGAUAUCAGGAGGAAUACCGGAGGCGAAGGCGGAUAGCUUGCCAGACACUGACACUCAGACCCGAAAGCGUGGGGAUCAAACAGGAUUAGAAACCCUUGUAGUCC
rnacentral:rRNA from 1 species